UUCAUAGACAAAAAAAAAAAAUAAAAUGGGGCGGAGAGAAGUCAAAUAAACUCAAGAGUAAAAGGCAGAUUGGAGCCCAGCAUGUAGCGAGCAUCUCUUAUAAACACCACCUGUCAAUAAAAAAAAGCUGAUGGCCAAUGAGCUGAAGCAGGAAAUAGGCGGUGGGACACUGGCCGGAAGAAGAGGAUUCUGGGAAAUAGUGAGUCAAUAAAAGAGAGACCCACAGAAAGCUGCCGAAGACUCGAGGGGACACGUGAUGGAAGACUGACGGAGGGACUGACAUAGAAACUCAGAGAGACGCUGAGAAGAGGCCAAGAAAGAAGUGAGCCGGACCUGAGGAGAGGUACGGAGGGAGAUGGACUGAGACCAGUAAAGGGGCGGACCGCAACAAGCCUUUCCUCCGGUCAAGUUAACUGCCUAGGAUAUUUUACCGUGGUGAUAGAAAGCUGGCUAAUACCACAGGGAAGAAGAUACUGUCACACUUCCACAGAAGAAAGGAAGGCCAAAGACUGUCCGAUUGCCAUUUGCAGACAACCAGCCAAAGGUUUGGAGGUGUGAGACACAGGACAUCCUUCUCAACCAACUGUGGUCAUCGCACACAGGUUACGUAAGUAUAAUUCUUCUCUUCCUCUAGAAGAGAGAGACCCUGCUUCUUGUGCAUGCUUCCAUUAUAACCCGAUUCUUAAGCCGCUCCCACAUAAUUUCACCAAAGCUACAUUCCACAGACACUAUAGGAACCAUCUGGCUUCAAGAAGAAAAAUGUUUAUUUGCAACAUACCUCGGUGGGGCCCAAUUUUAUUCACACACAGAGACCUCCAAACAAAAUUCCGAUUUAAAAUUGAUUUCCUAAUUGGUCCCAUCUAAUAAACAAUUUGGGAAUCUGAAUGCAAACUAAUUUCUCCGGGAAAUUCUCCUUUUCCUUUUCCUGCUGUUGCUUCCUGGUGCGCUGCCCUCUCUGCCUUCCAUAUCCUCUACUCUCUCCCCUCGUGGACUUCUAUCCUUCCUCUUUUCCUUGUACAAACCCCCUCAUCUCCCUGUCAACAUUAUUACACUCCUGAAAUGCUGGCUGCUACCCAAAGGUCCAUCCCGUCAGUCUCGGGCCUUCCGUUGCUGUGAUAAGACAUCAUCACCGAAAGCAACUUGGAGAAGAGGGGUUUGUUUCACCUUUACAGCUUUUAAGGCCACCACUAAGAGAAGUUAGGGUAGGAACUGCAGGCAGCAGUAUGAAGCAGAAACUGGAGCAGAGACCACAGGAAAGCACUGCGUCCUGGCUUGCUCGACUCAGACCGUCCAGGAGCAUCUGCCCAGGGUGGCAUCCACACAAUGAACUGGUCCUCCCGCAUCAAUUACUAUUCAGCAAAGUGCCCUACGGGUUUGCCCACAGGUGAAUCUGGUGGGGCAUUUCCUCAACUGAUCUUUUCAAACGACCCU
rnacentral:sRNA from 1 species